GCGCACGCUGGCGGCAGGCCUAACCCAUGCAAGUCGCACGAACCUUUCGGGGUUAGUGGCGGACGGGUGAGUAACACGUGGGAACGUGCCUUUAGGUUCGGAAUAACUCAGGGAAACUUGUGCUAAUACCGAAUGUGCCCUUCGGGGGAAAGAUUAAUCGCCUUUAGAGCGGCCCGCGUCUGAUUAGCUAGUUGGUUGAGGUAAUGGCUCACCAAGGCGACGAUCAGUAGCUGGUCUGAGAGGAUGAUCAGCCACAUUGGGACUGAGACACGGCCCAAACUCCUACGGGAGGCAGCAGUGGGGAAUCUUGCGCAAUGGGCGAAAGCCUGACGCAGCCAUGCCGCGUGAAUGAUGAAGGUCUUAGGAUUGUAAAAUUCUUUCACCGGGGACGAUAAUGACGGUACCCGGAGAAGAAGCCCCGGCUAACUUCGUG
rnacentral:rRNA from 1 species